CAGUUAGUACUUCCAUCAGGGAAACAGUGUCAACAGUGUACUGGUUUACCAUAUAAUAUGUAAUUAUCUAUAUAUAUAUAUAUAUAUAUAUAUUUAUAUUCCAGUGGUAAACCAGUACACUGUUGACACUGUUUCCCUGAUGGAAGUACUAACUG